rnacentral:lncRNA from 1 species
UUCAAAGCUCUUGGCAAUGGCUCUUGUGAAGCUCAAGGAGCCGUGACGAAGAUUUUGACCACCAGGAAGGGGCUGAUUGGGUUAGUGAAUGUGAAGACCAGAAUCUAUGAGCCGCUCUUUACAAGUGAGAGUGACCCUAUAGCCAUGACCUACGAUAUCCAAAGAAACCUCAUCUACUGGGCUGAUACAGAUGGGAAUAUCUACAAGGCUUUUAAACGGCGGAGCACAAUUCUUUAUUCAGGCUAGUUGAGCACUAAAUCCAUGCAAAACCGCCUAAAAUAUGUUGGCCUCCACUGAAACCAUAUGUGUGUUUAUUCAUCACUUAUUAGGGCAGUCUGGUUUGCACAGUCUAGCCAUCGACUGGCUUACUGGACAACUGUACUGGACGAGUGUUACCCAGAAAGCCAUCUACACCGGUGCAGCUGAUGGCAGUGCUAUAGGCACGGUCAUGUCCAAAGAAAUGGACCCGAGUGAUAUAGUCCUCAGUCCAACUGAGAGUUUCAUAUUUUGGAUUAAUAAAGGAACGACUGAAGAGCUAACCAUUGAGAGGGCAGAAAUGGACUGUUUGAAUCGGACAACACUGGUUUUCAUUACUGCACAGCUCCCGAGAAGUCUUACAUUGGAUGUGGCAGCGCGCCGGCUGUAUUGGAUCAGUGUUUACAAAGUGGUGCGAUACGUUUGGGGGAAAAAAAUAAACAAAUUUUGUUGUCAGAUUUAUUGAUUGUGUGUUCAUGUUGAGUUCUUUAAAUUGAAAUUCCAGUCAAUUGAGAGCAUCAGGACGGACGGCACUGGACGGCACACCUUCUGGGAUUUCUUUCAAGGACGUCCUGCUCAGACCCUGGCCGUGUUUAACGGCUGGUUUUACUGGGCCGA